GGUUACUGCUAUCGGUGUUCGCCUAAGCCAUGCGAGUCAUAUGCUCGUAAGAACAUGGCGUACUGCUCAGUAACACGUGGAUAACCUGCCCUAGGGUCCGGCAUAACCCCGGGAAACUGGGGAUAAUUCCGGAUAACGCACAUAUGCUGGAAUGCUUUAUGCGUAAAAUGGAUUCGUCUGCCCAAGGAUGGGUCUGCGGCCUAUCAGGUAGUAGUGGGUGUAAUGUACCUACUAGCCUACGACGGGUACGGGUUGUGAGAGCAAGAGCCCGGAGAUGGAUUCUGAGACAUGAAUCCAGGCCCUACGGGGCGCAGCAGGCGCGAAAACUUUACAAUGCGGGAAACCGUGAUAAGGGGACACCGAGUGCCAGCAUCCUAUGCUGGCUGUCCGGGUGUGUAAAAUACACCUGUUAGCAAGGGCCGGGCAAGACCGGUGCCAGCCGCCGCGGUAACACCGGCGGCCCGAGUGGUGAUCGUGAUUAUUGGGUCUAAAGGGUCCGUAGCCGGUUUGGUCAGUCCUCCGGGAAAUCUGACAGCUUAACUGUUAGGCUUUCGGAGGAUACUGCCAGACUUGGAACCGGGAGAGGUAAGAGGUACUACAGGGGUAGGAGUGAAAUCUUGUAAUCCCUGUGGGACCACCUGUGGCGAAAGCGUCUUGCCAGAACGGGUUCGACGGUGAGGGACGAAAGCUGGGGGCACGAACCGGAUUAGAUACCCGGGUAGUCCCAGCCGUAAACGAUGCUCGCUAGGUGUCAGGCAUGGCGCGACCGUGUCUGGUGCCGCAGGGAAGCCGUGAAGCGAGCCACCUGGGAAGUACGGCCGCAAGGCUGAAACUUAA
rnacentral:rRNA from 1 species